rnacentral:rRNA from 1 species
CAUCGGAUGUGCCCAGAUGGGAUUAGCUUGUUGGUGGGGUAACGGCUCACCAAGGCGACGAUCCCUAGCUGGUCUGAGAGGAUGACCAGCCACACUGGAACUGAGACACGGUCCAGACUCCUACGGGAGGCAGCAGUGGGGAAUAUUGCACAA